rnacentral:rRNA from 1 species
AUGGAGAGUUUGAUCCUGGCUCAGGAUGAACGCUGGCGGCGUGCCUAAUACAUGCAAGUCGAGCGAACGGACGAGAAGCUUGCUUCUCUGAUGUUAGCGGCGGACGGGUGAGUAACACGUGGAUAACCUACCUAUAAGACUGGGAUAACUUCGGGAAACCGGAGCUAAUACCGGAUAAUAUUUUGAACCGCAUGGUUCAAAAGUGAAAGACGGUCUUGCUGUCACUUAUAGAUGGAUCCGCGCUGCAUUAGCUAGUUGGUAAGGUAACGGCUUACCAAGGCAACGAUGCAUAGCCGACCUGAGAGGGUGAUCGGCCACACUGGAACUGAGACACGGUCCAGACUCCUACGGGAGGCAGCAGUAGGGAAUCUUCCGCAAUGGGCGAAAGCCUGACGGAGCAACGCCGCGUGAGUGAUGAAGGUCUUCGGAUCGUAAAACUCUGUUAUUAGGGAAGAACAUAUGUGUAAGUAACUGUGCACAUCUUGACGGUACCUAAUCAGAAAGCCACGGCUAACUACGUGCCAGCAGCCGCGGUAAUACGUAGGUGGCAAGCGUUAUCCGGAAUUAUUGGGCGUAAAGCGCGCGUAGGCGGUUUUUUAAGUCUGAUGUGAAAGCCCACGGCUCAACCGUGGAGGGUCAUUGGAAACUGGAAAACUUGAGUGCAGAAGAGGAAAGUGGAAUUCCAUGUGUAGCGGUGAAAUGCGCAGAGAUAUGGAGGAACACCAGUGGCGAAGGCGACUUUCUGGUCUGUAACUGACGCUGAUGUGCGAAAGCGUGGGGAUCAAACAGGAUUAGAUACCCUGGUAGUCCACGCCGUAAACGAUGAGUGCUAAGUGUUAGGGGGUUUCCGCCCCUUAGUGCUGCAGCUAACGCAUUAAGCACUCCGCCUGGGGAGUACGACCGCAAGGUUGAAACUCAAAGGAAUUGACGGGGACCCGCACAAGCGGUGGAGCAUGUGGUUUAAUUCGAAGCAACGCGAAGAACCUUACCAAAUCUUGACAUCCUUUGACAACUCUAGAGAUAGAGCUUUCCCCUUCGGGGGACAAAGUGACAGGUGGUGCA